rnacentral:lncRNA from 1 species
AGUAGUUGGCAAUGAAUAAGGUGAUAAGGUUGGUUUAAGUAUGUAUGGACAGAAGUAUGCUUUAUCAAUUAAACAAUAGCAUAGUCCAGGUACAGUGGCAUUGAUGCACUUAUUGUUUUGGUCACAUUUUGUUUCAGAACAAAAUCCUACUUCUUGGUUAAUUGUAGAAAAUUGAGAAGGGGUGGUUUUCCUUCUUGUUGUUUGUUGAACUGUUGUUGACGCUAAUGUGGUUGUUACUUUUGUUGUAGGUUUUGUUGUAGGUUUGUUUGUGGUUUGAGAUGU